ACCAGGUUUACAGCGUCUCAGAACAGAAACGGAAAAAUUUCAACCAUGAGAGCUAUUUUGUUUCUUGCUGUCUUUCUCCUCGCUUCAGUCGCCUUCGCUUCAGCAAUGAGCAUAGAAGAAGCCGAUCCAUCACAUUCUUUGGUAAGAAGAGACGUAAUAUACAUGAACCCACCAUUGAAGUCAUGCCAAAACUACAGAUGUAGGAUAACCUGUAGGAAAAGGGGUUAUAAGAACGGUGGUUUCUGCAACAGAAAUGGAUGCAAUUGUUUAAAAUGAUAUUGGCAAGAUACAACUUUGCCAAAACUGUACUACGCCAUACUUAUAGCAUAUACAAUGUUACCGAAUAAUAAUUUUCGUACUGAUUUUUUUUACUUUCUUGAAGUAGUAUAUAAUAAUAUAAUACUGAAUUCGAAACCUACAAGAGUAGUUCUGAAGACAAAAGCUCAAUAAUAAUAAUAUCAGCCCAGUAUUAUAUACUGUCCCACUGCUGAGCACGGGCCUCCUCUACUACUGAGAGAGAUUAGGCCUCUUAAGAAUUAAGAAGCUCGUUACAUCAAGACCAUUUUAACAAAGCGGCAAAAUUGCCAAACGCUUAUGCAAUAAACAUUUUGCUGUGAUUAUUUUAUUAGAGGUUUAUUCUUCUUAUAUCAUCUCUUAUGGCCUAAUGAACAACUUAUUAAAGAUUAAAUAUAAAAGUUUUUUACAAAUUU